CCUACGGGUGGCAGCAGUGAGGAAUAUUGGUCAAUGGACGAGAGUCUGAACCAGCCAAGUAGCGUGAAGGAUGACUGCCCUAUGGGUUGUAAACUUCUUUUAUAAAGGAAUAAAACGAGGCACGUGUGCCUUUUUGCAUGUACUUUAUGAAUAAGGAUCGGCUAACUCAGUGCCAGCAGCCGCGGUAACACGGAGGAUCCGAGCGUUAUCCGGAUUUAUUGGGUGUAAAGGGAGCGUAGAUGGGUUGUUAAGUCAGUUGGGAAAGUUUGCGGCUCAACCGUAAAAUUGCAAUUGAUACUGGUAGUCUUGAGUACAGUUGAGGUAGGCGGAAUUCGUGGUGUAGCGGUGAAAUGCUUAGAGAUCACGAAGAACCCCGAUUGCGAAGGCAGCUUACUAAACUGUGACUGACAUUGAUGCUCGAAAGUGUGGGUAGCAAACAGGAUUAGAUACCCUUGUAGUC
rnacentral:rRNA from 1 species